rnacentral:rRNA from 1 species
CAGUCGCCGCGGUAAUACGAGGGGUGCAAGCGUUAUUCGGAUUGAUUGGGUGUAAAGGGUGUGCAGACGGCUUAUUAAGUCACUUGUUAAAUUCUUCGGCCUAACUGAAGGUCUGCAAGUGAUACUGAUGAGCUAGAGGGUGGAAGAGAGAAGUGGAAUUCUCGGAGUAGCGGUAAAAUGCGUAGAUCUCGAGAGGAACACCAAUGGCGAAGGCAGCUUCUUGGUCCAUUUCUGACGUUCAUACACGAAAGCGUGGGGAGCGAACAGGAUUAGAUACCCGCGUAGUCCCUGUCUCUUAUAC